ACAGUUCAUCGAAUGGGGACACAACACAAUAAUUUAAACAGUACAAGUUCAAAAAAAAAUUGUAAAAUAAAAAAUCUCGUUGUAAGAAAAGCCCAAGAGAAAGCCAAUGGACUCGAAGUAAAAAUCAGAAUUUAAACUAAAAGAAAUUUAGUGAUAUGUUAAACAAAACAGUGAUGUGUGUGUUGGGAGAGAGGAAAUUAUUUCUUCUUCUUCUUUUUUUUUUU
rnacentral:lncRNA from 1 species